rnacentral:rRNA from 1 species
CCUACGGGAGGCAGCAGUGAGGAAUAUUGGUCAAUGGACGAGAGUCUGAACCAGCCAAGUAGCGUGAAGGAUGACUGCCCUAUGGGUUGUAAACUUCUUUUAUAUGGGAAUAAAAUGUUCCACGUGUGGGAUUUUGUAUGUACCAUAUGAAUAAGGAUCGGCUAACUCCGUGCCAGCAGCCGCGGUAAUACGGAGGAUCCGAGCGUUAUCCGGAUUUAUUGGGUUUAAAGGGAGCGUAGGUGGAUUGUUAAGUCAGUUGUGAAAGUUUGCGGCCCAACCGUAAAAUUGCAGUUGAAACUGGAAGUCUUGAGUACAGUAGAGGUGGGGGGAAUUCGGGGUGUAGCGGUGAAAUGCUUAGAUAUCACGAAGAACUCCGAUUGCGAAGGCAGCUCACUGGACUGAAACUGACACGGAGGCUCGAAAGUGUGGGUAUCAAACAGGAUGAGAUACCCUAGUAGUC